CAUUAGAUAACUAAAAGUUAGUGCUGGUCUCUUAAACCAUAAAAUAGUAACGUAACGUCUACUUCUAAUG
rnacentral:tRNA from 1 species